rnacentral:rRNA from 1 species
AUGUCCAAACUGCGACUACAGAACACAACAACUUCCAGAGCUAGUAAAGAUAAAGUAAACAUGCACCUUUCACUUCAGAAGUUCACGAAAGGGUCGCCAAUAGAACUACCCGGUGCUCUCUUGAAGUUCCCCAUGCCACCAUCUUCAGCAUCAGAACACCCAGUGACCAUGAUUUUGGAGCCUGCACUGGCCCGUUUCAUGGACCGCAGAGGAUUCACUUUGGAAUGCAUAUCCUCCAUCGAAGUGAACCAUGCAUUGGCCAACACUAUCACCACAUGCUUCAGCACCAGCGCACUCUCAAAGAAAAACUUGAGAAAAGCAAGCUCACUCCGAUCCCCUCGGAAAUCAUGGAAAACCAGCAGGUUGAUGCGCGAGCUGAUGCAUUCUAUGGUACCAGACUCAUUCCAGAACUUGAGGUUGUGCUUGCCAGAGGGUUGA